rnacentral:rRNA from 1 species
AGAUUAAGUUAUUAAGGGCGCACGGUGGAUGCCUUGGCACUAGAAGCCGAUGAAGGACGUUACUAACGACGAUAUGCUUUGGGUAGCUGUAAGUAAGCGUUGAUCCAGAGAUUUCUGAAUGGGGGAACCCAGCAUGAGUUAUGUCAUGUUAUCGACAUGUGAAUUCAUAGCAUGUCAGAAGGCAGACCCGGAGAACUGAAACAUCUUAGUACCCGGAGGAAGAGAAAGAAAAAUCGAUUCCCUGAGUAGCGGCGAGCGAAACGGGAAGAGCCCAAACCAACAAGCUUGCUUGUUGGGGUUGUAGGACACUCUAUACGGAGUUACAAAAGAACAUGUUAGACGAAUCAUCUGGAAAGAUGAAUCAAAGAAGGUAAUAAUCCUGUAGUCGAAAACAUAUUCUCUCUUGAGUGGAUCCUGAGUACGACGGAGCACGUGAAAUUCCGUCGGAAUCUGGGAGGACCAUCUCCUAAGGCUAAAUACUCUCUAGUGACCGAUAGUGAACCAGUACCGUGAGGGAAAGGUGAAAAGUACCCCGGAAGGGGAGUGAAAGAGAACUUGAAACCGUGUGCUUACAAGUAGUCAGAGCCCGUUAAUGGGUGAUGGCGUGCCUUUUGUAGAAUGAACCGGCGAGUUACGAUCUGAUGCAAGGUUAAGCAGCAAAUGUGG